CCUACGGGGGGCAGCAGUGGGGAAUAUUGGACAAUGGGGGCAACCCUGAUCCAGCCAUGCCGCGUGUGUGAAGAAGGCCCUCGGGUUGUAAAGCACUUUCAGUGAAGAAGAACGCCUGGUGGUUAAUACCCAUCAGGAAAGACAUCACUCACAGAAGAAGCACCGGCUAACUCCGUGCCAGCAGCCGCGGUAAUACGGAGGGUGCGAGCGUUAAUCGGAAUUACUGGGCGUAAAGCGCGCGUAGGUGGCUUGAUAAGCCGGUUGUGAAAGCCCCGGGCUCAACCUGGGAACGGCAUCCGGAACUGUCAAGCUAGAGUGCAGGAGAGGAAGGUAGAAUUCCCGGUGUAGCGGUGAAAUGCGUAGAGAUCGGGAGGAAUACCAGUGGCGAAGGCGGCCUUCUGGACUGACACUGACACUGAGGUGCGAAAGCGUGGGUAGCAAACAGGAUUAGAUACCCCAGUAGUC
rnacentral:rRNA from 1 species